rnacentral:lncRNA from 1 species
AGGAGCGCACCUGUCUUGAUUAUCAGCCGAGCCUUGAUCUGGAGGUAAUCAUUAGAAUAAGCAUCCUUGAUGAUUCUGUCCAAUUUUUGGGAUUUGUGAUUCGUAGCGAGUUAAGAGAUCAUUUGUUGGCUUAUCCCUGUUUAUGAUUUGAGAUUGUUAUUUUUUGCGCACUCCAAUUCCAGAAAUCCAAUCCAAUUUCACCCCUACUCUGACCUCAAUGGACUAUUGUUGUCGUUUUCCUCCACCUUGCCCUAGGACACAGGUGGCCGGGUGAGGCUGAGACAAGCCAAGGAUCAACCAGCAGUUCUUCCCAACCACGCCGCCGCAGCAGCAGCAGACGAUGAUGUUGUGGUGUGUCCUAAAUGUACUAAGCUUGCUUUUGCAGAUGUUCAUAUUUUUAUUUUCCAUUUGCGCCAUGCAUUUGCUUUUUUACUUCCUGUCAACAAUUUAACUAAAAGAUUCACACCAGUUCUUCAACUCUUUGCUUGAUCAUGGUUUGUUGCUUUGAAGAGCACUGCAAUUACUUCCUCGAGGAUGAUGUUACUUGUGGCAGCUAUAAUUUUUGAAAGGCCCCCAAUUUAUGAUGUGUGUAUACCGAGUGAAUGAAUCAACAUGAGCCCUCUUAUGUGUUAGUGUAUUUUAUUACUUAGUUCUUACUACAAGAUACCCUAUUUGGCCAUGUUUCAUGGUGCACUGGAGAAUGCAUCCAUACUGUGUGUGUAAUUUAGAAUAUUGUUGCUUUUGGAUGAUGAUAUACCAUGCUAUGAAUUAUAUAUCCCAAUCUGUAUUUUAAUACUUUCUUCUUUUUGCCUUAUUGUUAGAACAACUUUUGCUGAGUGGGCUAGCUCCGUAUGGUAAUAUAUUGAUGGAAGUUAGACAAGUGGAGUUGUACUAUUUGGUCAGAGUUGAUAUUUUCGGUGGAGUUGGGAACUGAACUGAUGGAGUUAUACUCGGUGUUAGCUACACCUGUUUUUGGUCGCACGGAUACUUUUUAUGGUCGGUGUAAGCGCACAGGCUGGUGGUUCCUGAGUUCUUAUAAAGUAGGGAGUAAGGUUUUCAUUCUGAUGCUUUAUUGUUUUAGGAUUUAGAUAUUUUCUAACCGGUUUACAGGGCUAAGGUGUUUAUGUUUUCCCCUUGUUACAGUUCAUGCAAUGCAACCUCCUUUCUCUAAGGUUUAUGCUUAAGGGUAUAAUUUUUAUAUUUGAUUUGGUACUCCAUAUAGGUGGAUGUAAUGAUUAUAUCAGCAGCCCCGGAACAAUGGCAUUGAAACUGAUUG